rnacentral:rRNA from 1 species
GAUGAACGCUAGCGGCAGGCUUAAUACAUGCAAGUCGUGGGGCAGCAUGACUGUAGCAAUACAGUUGAUGGCGACCGGCAAACGGGUGCGGAACACGUACACAACCUUCCUUUAAGUGGGGAAUAGCCCAGAGAAAUUUGGAUUAAUACCCCGUAACAUAAUGAAAAGGCGUCUUUUUGUUAUUAUAGCAGCAAUGCGCUUGAAGAUGGGUGUGCGGCUGAUUAGAUAGUUGGCGGGGUAACGGCCCACCAAGUCUGCGAUCAGUAACUGGUGUGAGAGCACGACCAGUCACACGGGCACUGAGACACGGGCCCGACUCCUACGGGAGGCAGCAGUAAGGAAUAUUGGUCAAUGGACGCAAGUCUGAACCAGCCAUGCCGCGUGGAGGAUGAAGGUCCUCUGGAUUGUAAACUUCUUUUAUUUGGGAAGAAAUCUACCUUUUCUUGGGUAGUUGACGGUACCAGAUGAAUAAGCACCGGCUAACUCCGUGCCAGCCGCCGCAGUAAAAC